AAAGAAAAGAAAACAUGGGAGCCCAACUCCUCAAGCCCAUCAUCGUCCUCAUCCACAACCCCACGACCCGCCUCGCACCUUCUCCCUCCCGGCCGCCGCGCGCGUCCCAGCACUGGCCGCCGUGCGCCUCCCACCUCCCGGCCGCCGCGCGCCUCCCACCUCCCGGCCGCCGCGCGCCUCCACCUUCUGUCCACUGGCGCGCCUCCACCUCCCGUCCGCCGCCACAGCUCGACCUCCCGACCACCGCGCGCGUCCAUCCUCGACUGUCGGCACGCCUCCACCUCCUACAUGUCGCCAUGGACCUCCAUCCCCGGUGCGCCGGACCCCUCUUCCCCACCGCGCCACCGCCCCCCUCUGCCUCACCGGGUCGCACCGCGUCCCCCCUCCUCCGCCUCACCGCGCCUUCCCCAAGCGCGACGCCGUCGACACAAUUGCAGGGCCAACUUGCCGCUGACCAUGCAAUCUUCCUCAAGGAGCUCGUGUCCAACGAGACUGUAAGGAACAACUACUCGAGUUCUGAACUUCUUACUCAGUAAUGCUAGUAUUGAGGGAAAAUGGGCUGAAAUGCAUUGCAAAUUAUCUCUCCGAGACCCUGGCAAUUAUUCAGUCCACGCCGCCACACAGUCAAACUGCAUCCGCCAUCUCAGUGCGACCUCUUAUACCUUUGCAACCCUGUGUCCCGCCAUCCACCGAGUAGUCCAACCUCAGGGCUAUGUUCUGAGAAAAUCCCCUGAAGCGAAAUUGUUGCCGAUAGCCAUUGACCAUGAAGCUUCUCUGCCCUGCUGCUACUACUACAUGAGGUGAUCGUAGUGCUCAGUUAUUUUCGUGUGAUGCCGCUGCUUUAGCCAACUCUGAAUGCAUAGGUGCCGAGUGUGCUGCAUUAGCCAUUUUUAUUAUUAACACGUACAUCUAGCUUGUCUUGAAGCUUCAUGAUGUGGAAAAAACAUUGGGGAAACUUCAUGUUCUACAUAGAUGGAGUUAUGUUCGGCUGCACUUUGUGUCAUUUAGGUUGUUCUCUAGCUAGUAUCUAACAAAAACGAAUCAGUCACUUGAGCGUUCUAGAAGAAAAAACUGAAGCUGAAAUAUCACUCAUGUUUUGUCUGUGCUUACGUAUGUAGACAUGAUUUGUAUGACAAAGAAGCUCUGCUAAGUUAAAUAGAUUCAGUCGCAUAUAUGUUUGUAUGGAAGUACAAGCAUCGGUCAGGACUUCUUUUACAAUGUUGUUUAUGCUGAGUUCCACUACAAAAAUGUAUACUUUUUCUCUGAAAAAAGUUACUAAUAUAAAGUUUCCCUUCCUGUCUAUUAUAAUCAGUACUGAUGGACAUAUGAGGUCGUGUGGCCACACUUUUUUUGAAGGCGUAUCUCCAUGCAAUCACACCUUUUUCCCUGGUCCUUUGAGAGGCCCUAAGCUUGGUGCAUAUCACGAAUAAUGGCAGAACUAGGAUAUUGUGCACAUUACAGUGUUGAGAAAGAGAAGUAGCUGGUUGAACACUCCAGCAAAGGUCAGGAAUCCACUAUGGAAGCUUAAUCAGAGCUUGCCUUAGUAUCUGAAAUCUUGACUGUAGUAGUGGACCAUGACAUGAGUGUCCAUGGUUGAAAAACCUUGACUGAACCAUGACAUUGUCGUAUCUGUGCUACUUUUAAGUUAUGCAUUGCUCAGUGUUUCAACCACAGUGGGCGCUAGUGCUCCCUUUCUUAAGAAUUAUCAUCAAUUAUAGGUUUUUUGCACCACAAAAUUUUGAUUAUAUUGAUACCUAAUAAUAGCAUGUGCUCAUUUUUGAAUUGAAACAAAAAGAGUCUCUCUAAUAAUAAAUGGGCUCUCUAAUAAUAAGUUCUAAGGAAAUAAAUAUAGAAGUUCAUAUUUCAAAACAAAUGAAGUAUUUUGGAAGUAAAACAAACUAUUUCAAAGUACAUAAAUUAUAUUUAGGUAUCUUUGUGUACUUCAACGUUACUGUACAUCAACUUGUUCUUCAAUGUUAAAUAUAGAAGCGCUGCAGGGGCGGUCGCCGGCGGAGGGCGGAGUGUCGGCAACAACCACCUCUGCCCCAUCCUGCUCCUCCUCAUCGCGUGACCGUCUCCUUGGCCGCCCUGCCCCUCGACGUCAAGCACUGCCCUCCCAUGAGAGAUCGAACAGACAAGGCACUCCUGCCAUAUUCUUCCCGUGGAUCCAGCUCCUGUUCCCCGCCAACAGUAGGAGACAUGAGGUCACCUCUGGCGUUGCUGGUGGCGUGAAGGCCGUCAAAUGGUAAAUUUCCUACCCUUGUAACCUCAGGUACUACUACAAAGCAGAAAGGAUCUAUGUAAGUUAGUUAAUAGCACCAUGAUGUGCCUAUUGUGCUGCAAGACUGCUAGUUCUUCAACUAAAAAUAAAUAUACAUUUCGCUUGUCAUGCUUUCUGGAUGUGGUAUUACAUGAUACAGUCCCAAAAAAGUAUAAAUUUCUUCUAUUGUCAGUUCAAUUUUCUCUAGUAUGUAUGUUCUGAAGAUGAUGAGAGAAUGGUCUGGUGGAGAUGAUGCAUGUUUGUUAGCUUUUUAUCAUGAUAUAUAAAAAGAUGCUGGUAGCUCUAGUACCUAUACUACAACAGCUCAUUGAAAAAAAUCAGUUCAAUACAUACUUGGAAAAAGUUCAAUACUAAGUGUUCUCUGCCUAUCCUUACAUUAGCUAGUCUUCACCAUGUCCAGAUAGUGCCUAGAAUAAGUUAACUCAUGCAUUUCCAUAAAACUAUGUACUGAUAAAUCAGAACUCGUGCAUUUCCAUAAAAUUCUGUAAGUAUCGUGUGUGUGUUGUUACAAAUCUGAAAUAUUUUUCCAAUCAUACUAUUGAUGUAAUCACCUAAAAAUGUUGAAGAAAAACUCUGCAAGUUUGGUGCGUGUGCUGCUACAAAUCUAAACUUCUUGUCCAGUCAUUCUAGUACUGAUGAAGAUCGAGUUGACAGAAAUAAUGUAGUCAAUUCCUGAGACCCUUACUAAUCCUUCUACAUAUAGAAGUUGUGCCUCAUAGCCAUACAUGACUUUUGUCUUUGUUCCCUGCUUGUUUUUGUAAAAUUCUUUGAACUGAUUUAGGUGAUAUAUUUGGACCCUUGCCUCGUCAGUACAACAGCACGCUCCACAGCCGGUCAGGAGAAGAGUUGCAUGCAGGCCACCCUCUGCUCCGUCCUCGAUCCCGCGUAGUCAUCUCCCUCUCAUCCUCUCUCUGCUCCAUGUGUGUGUGUGCAGGGAGUGGAAGAAGAUAGUGCAGGGGAGUGGGAGGUCCUUCCAUGGUGAAUUCAUAGGCAUCUUCCAUGGAGAUUGUGAACUCUCUCGAUUAUUGCUUGAGGAUUUAUGUUGGUCUGUCCACUGUAGUUCCUGUAUACUCUUUUUCUAGUGUUCCUCUUUUGAUGUUGUUGCAGGUGUUUAAUAACCCACUGAUAUGAUUUUGGGAAACAAGCUUCAGUACAGAGAAGCUUCGGUACGAGAAAAAAUGGGUCAUCACUUCAUCCAUAUGCAACCUCCUGCGUGGUCGUACAUUUUUAUUUGGAGCUACUCGCUGUGUGGUCAUCCAUAUGUGUAUUGUGUUGUCAGGUCGUGUGCAUGUUUGUUACAAGUUCAUUUAUAUGUUGGUAACCACUAUUAUUGCUGCUAGCUAUCGAUUUGAAUGUUGUA